rnacentral:tRNA from 1 species
GGCGUAGCUCAGUUGGUAGAGCCCUGGAUUGUGAUUCCGGUUGUCGUGGGUUCGAGUCCCAUCGUU